GAUGAACGCUGGCGGCGUGCCUAAUACAUGCAAGUCGAGCGAACAGACGAGGAGCUUGCUCCUCUGACGUUAGCGGCGGACGGGUGAGUAACACGUGGAUAACCUACCUAUAAGACUGGGAUAACUUCGGGAAACCGGAGCUAAUACCGGAUAAUAUAUUGAACCGCAUGGUUCAAUGGUGAAAGACGGUUUUGCUGUCACUUAUCGAUGGAUCCGCGCCGCAUUAGCUAGUUGGUAAGGUAACGGCUUACCAAGGCAACGAUGCGUAGCCGACCUGAGAGGGUGAUCGGCCACACUGGAACUGAGACACGGUCCAGACUCCUACGGGAGGCAGCAGUAGGGAAUCUUCCGCAAUGGGCGAAAGCCUGACGGAGCAACGCCGCGUGAGUGAUGAAGGUCUUCGGAUCGUAAAACUCUGUUAUUAGGGAAGAACAAAUGUGUAAGUAACUAUGCACGUCUUGACGGUACCUAAUCAGAAAGCCACGGCUAACUACGUG
rnacentral:rRNA from 1 species